AAAAGAAUAUUACUGUGAUAUUCCUGUGAUAUUUAUUGGCGGCCAGUGAGACAAACGUAACAAAUGAGCUUUAUUAUUGCCAUUGUGGCUCAGUUUUAACAGUAAGAGUGUUAGCGCUAGUAGCAAUGCUAACACUAACUGAAGUGCUGACGUUAGCAGGAAUGCUAGCGCUAGCAGCAAUGCUAGCAGCAAUGCUAAGACUAGUAACAGUCUAAAAGUAGCCUUACAUAAGUUGAAAUACUUCAGUUAAUUAGUUUGAAUUAUAAAAUGGCUGCUGUAUCAGCUGGUGUGCUAUAUUACUCUAUAAUUACCGUGUUGAAUGUAAGUUCUGUGUAUCAUAUCGCAGAGCAUGAGACUUCACAUCUGGAGCACAGGAGAGAUUCUGUAAUAAAUCCUCCUUCUAGCUUGUCCCACAAGCAGUCGAGCUGAGACACUCAGGACUGAACAGACUCCACAGUUUCUGUGACUGCGCCUCCAAAACACCUUCUUUGAAACCACACAUGAUAGAAGGGCUUUAUAUUUGCAGCAGCACUACUAAAGUUGGCAGGAAUGUUGCUGCAGGAAAACAUCCCUGGAGAUCACCAUCAUUGUCAGACUGACUGUGCCUCCUCUGUGCAGUGUCAAGAUCCUCCCUAAAUGAGUGUUCCUCAGCUAUCCUGCUUCUGUGCUGCUUGCCACACAUCAAACACUGGCCGGAUGACAGGGAGGAUCCACUCUGAAGUCACUGGACAUGAUAGUUUCACAGAAACGUUGUGCUCUUUGAUUACAGGUUUUAAAUGAACAUAAUGACUGCCUCUCUCUGAUCAACAGGCUAAAGGAUUGUUUUCAUUGUCAGAGCUCUGUACAAUGUAUGCUUAUUUAAUAUUUCAUCACAGAGCAAACAUUUAUUUAUUUAUUUAACAUAUUUUUUAUUUUGUUUUAAUGUUGAGUUAACUGUGGGGAUUUUUUUAACUGGGCACUCGGGAUGUCAUAUGACCAGAAAUGUGGUAACUUCAAUUCUACAGUAUGUACAAAAAAUCUGCUAAGAACGAAACACAGACAAAAAACCCCAAGAGAACUCAAAUUCAUUCCAUGUAAUCCAAUCUAAAACAUUUUAAACUGCUGAACAGCAACACAAACAGUGUUAAAAAACAGUGUUAACAGAAUGAUUAUGAUGAGUUUGUACCAAAGUUUCAGGUCACAUGGCACACCUAGUGUGUAACGUGGGGUAUCAGCUGGUAAGUAUAGGUUUUUUCAUAUUUGUGUCCUUAGAGUUCAGAUAGAUAAAGCCUUCUGCAUAAUAAUUAGUCAUAACCACAACUCAAAGUCAGGGACUAACUAAAUUUGGGACUUUGUGUCUGAGCCCAGGUUAAAACAGUGUAAAAAAGCAUUUAGUGGCAUGGCUGAACAAUGCUGUAAACUAAUGAUACUUAUUUAUCCAUGUUCAUAAAAUGAACUAAUGUGUUUAUUUGAUUAUUUGUAUGUGUUAAACUGUGUCACCACCUUAGGCUUUCGUUUGAGUUUACUCAAAAAUCUCUAUACAGUUCUCGUUUACCACUGUGUGGACACUGUUUACGUUAAAACAUAAAAAAGAAUGAGUGUAGACAGAUCAGUGGAUUAAGUAGACCGAUAGAAACAGCUGUUCAGCCAUGUUCUAAGAAACCAACACAAUUUAAAGGUUCAGGAUUGUGGUUUUAAAAGUUGAAUUUUCGUGUAUUUCAUAUGUUGCUUAUUAUUUUCAUUUAGUUAUUUAAUU